rnacentral:rRNA from 1 species
GACGAACGCUGGCGGCGGGCCUAAUACAUGCAAGUAGAACGCAGUUGCGAACGGGUGAGUAACACGUAGGUAACUACCUCAUAGCGGGGGGUAACGAUUGGAAACGAUAGCUAAUACCGCAUACUGUGAGCUGGAUCGGCGUUGUAUUAGCUAGUUGGUGAGGUAAAGGCUCACCAAGGCGACGAUACAUAGCCGACCUGAGAGGGAGAUCCGGCAAACUGGGAAUGAGACAACGCCCCGAAUCCUACGGGGGGCAGCAAGAGGGAAAUGUCGGCCAUUGAGGGAAGGCUUGACUCGGAACGCCGCCGGAGUGAAGAAGGUUCUCGGGUCGUUAAACUCUGUUGUUAGAGGAGCGGUACCUAACCAGAAAGCGACGGCUAACUACGUGCCAGCCGCCGCGGUAAUUC